UCCUCACUGACAAAGCAACAGCAACUCUAACUCAACAGAGAUGCACAGUAUUCCUAAUACUAUUCAAAACAAAGCACCAAAGAAUGAUCUAUUCAGUGCUCUGAAAUUGAAGAUCUGCAAGAUAUUUACCUCUUUUCUAACAUCUUCAGGACUGUAGUACUGGCUUGCUGGCAGGGAAGGAGUGGGGCAGCAGUAUUUAAAAUCCAUUCUUCUAAUGAAUGCAGUGAAAAACUGACCUCAACUGAGAAGACAAAGAGCAUUCACUGAUGGUGAAAUGUAUCCCUGUGUAGAGAGCCCGCAUAGAGACUGCAUCACUGAAGCCCUAUUCCAACGACCUAAAUAGGAAUAAAUUGGUGCAUGGACUUCACCACAGAGAAUUUUGUCCAAAAUCUGCAUUUUCUUGUAGAGAAUGAGGAAAGAUGUGGCCCUCUCCUGUCAAAGCACAAAGGCAUAGCACCUCCUUCCCAUGCUGGGAACAAUCCUGAAAACUGCUCCUCAGUGUAUCUUCCUAGAAGUUUUAACCUGAAGUCUUUUGUGCUUUGUCCACGUUCUUCUGAUUGGAAAGGGAAAGGAGGGAACGCAACAUUUGACAUUACUCCGUAAGUUAGCCCAAGGGCAUCGUGCCUGCAGAUAAAGUGGUCCCUUUCCUCAAGGCAGGCAUAAAUUAGCACACUGUGAUUCUUCUAAUACAAGAAAUGGAGCCUCGGAUAAAGCUCUCUGUAAGAGCUUGCCUGCACAGGUGAGGAUGUUUAACACUUGUGGGGCAGUAGAUUGUGAUUGUUGAGUGAAAGGGGUGCCCUAAUCCCCUUGUGGAAAGGAAGAGACAUGGCUCAAAAACAGUCAAUGAACUUCUGCUUGAGAGAGGCCUGAGAGCUCGAAAUGCAAGAAUGAGGAGUAUGGCAGCUCGCUUCUUGACCUGGAAAUCAAUGAGGAAGUCACAGCCACAAGUAACUAUUCAAAGAAGAUCUGCUCCAAAAAAAAUCAGCCUGACCCUUACCUGUUAAAGGGCAAGAUCCUGGAUGAAAGUCCCAAUGCAGUUUGAAUGCCACAAUAUUACUUUGUUGGAAGACAUUGUGGAAAACUUCUGGUUUGGUGGGUGCAGAACACUGGAU